rnacentral:misc_RNA from 1 species
GAUGAAGAACGUAGCGAAAUGCGAUAAGUAAUGUGAAUUGCAGAAUUCAGUGAAUCAUCGAAUCUUUGAACGUACAUUGCGCCCGCCAGUAUUCUGGCGGGCAUGCCUGUUCGAGCGUCAUUUCAACCAUCAAGCCCCCGGCUUGUGUUGGGGACCUGCGGCUGCCGCAGGCCCUGAAAACCAGUGGCGGGCUCGCUAGUCACUCCGAGCGUAGUAAUACAUCUCGCUCAGGGCGUGCUGCGGGUUCCGGCCGUUAAAAAGCCUUAUUUACCCAAGGUUGACCUCGGAUCAGGUAGGAAGACCCGCUGAACUUAAGCAUAUCAAUAAGCGGAGGA